UCACUUUCUUUUUUUUGGAUAAAUGAAAAUUUUUUAUUUAAAAAAUUCAAAGAAACAGAGCAAACCUCUGCUGGAAGAAAUAACAAAAAGAAAAAAGGAGUACAAUAAACAAUUAUUGACUUAUUCUCCGGUUAUUACAAAGAGUAUUCUUUGAAUGCUUGAUGACUAUAUUAGAAUAAAAUCGAACAAAAAUGAACCCAUCGCAGCAACUUAUUGAAACACUUCUUCUGGAGUUUGUUUGUAUGAUUCCUUGAAUUCCUCUGCCUCCAAAUAUAUUAAAUAGAUGCUCUUCAUGCAAGUUUGAGUAGAAUAGAAGUCUAUUCAGCAAGUGUUUUUCAAGGAAAAAAAUUCCAAUGAUUUAAUCCAGAACUUUUUAAUGUAGUUGAAAAUUUGUUGGAAAUGAGAGAAGUGUUCUGAAUUAUUUUAUAUUGUAACAAAAAGAUUAAACAAUAAUGGUUAAUAGAAGUGGUGAGGGGAAGGAAAAGUAAGAAAAUGACAAAUGAUAAAAAAAAAAA
rnacentral:lncRNA from 1 species